UGCCCCUCCCCUGCUCUCGCUCAAAACAAGUGAACACUAAAAAAAAAUACUAACAGUUGGUGAGACGUCACCAAGUGUGGAAAUCAUACACCGCCCUUACUGCCGAGGCGGAUGCCUGAUGAGUUUUGUCAGCGACUGUCCAUCAUGAAGUCUGCAGAGGAUGUGAGAAAAUGAUUCGCUUUCAUUUCCUCAAGAAAAAGGGUGGCUUUGGUUUGAAGCUCUCAAGCAAAGCCCGUGCCUUGCCAUUCAGAAUGUGCUCGGUCCAAGACAAGGAAUAUAUGAAACAGAGAGAUGAACACAAGUAAGCUCGGGCAGAGGGAGGGGACACUGGCGGGCACCCUACUCCCCUCUUGCUGCGUCUCCAGGCACCUGUCUGCCCCCAAGUCCCGGACUUGAGCUGAGAAACCCUGCCCUUCCUUCCCGGAAGUCCCCCUGACAAGAAACCCUGCUUCCGUACCUUUGGAGGCUUCGCGAACCUGCACAGGAAGGGCAGGAAAGGGACUGCAUUUGGAUGACACGCUUGGAAGACACAAGAAGACUCUGUGGCCUGGGUGCAGGAAGGUCUGUCUUCUCAGGGAACCACAGAGGAUAAGCUCUACCAGAGAAAGAGAGAAAAUCCAGAAAACGAAGACAAAGAAUCCAACAUAGGAGAGACAAGAGAUUUUAACAAGCCCUUUGACUUCCUAGAAAACAGAAGAGUUAGCUUUUGAACACCCCUUCCCACCCGUUCCCCAUUUGUCCUUUCAAGUGAGUCAGAAAGCAACAUUAAUAAACUAAUCAGAAACGAGUAUUUGUGUUGUUACAAUAUCUUGUACAUCGCUCUCGGCUGAGCCAGCGGUACACCAUGAUUAGCGUUAUUAUACAACUUUUCCUGGAAUUGGUGGAGCCCAGUUUCCCCUGGAACUGAGUCAACACAGUCCACUUCCCCCUGGAGACGUCCUUCUGAGCGCCCUCAUCUUCC